AGGGUACGAAGUGCAAUGGAAGUCAUCACCUCAAGUUGAGCUAUUUGGUGUGGCUGCAACAAGGUACCCUGGGGUACCUGUUGUUGUUGAGGCCAUUGACCCAGUUGUUGUUGUUGAGGUUGUUGGAAAGAACACUGUCCGAGCUGCUUCUGUUGUUGUUGGGGUUGGGAGACACCUUGGACCGACUGUUGGGGUUGUUGCUGCUGAGGUUGGUUCAAACCCUGACCAUGUUGUUGUUCUUGUAGGACGAUCGAGUAGAUGAUGGCACGGAUUGCAUCGUAGCGUGAUUGUUCGGGGAUUUGCGGCAGCUGCCGGCAACAUUGUUGCUGCAUCACAUGGCAACUACUCUGCCACAACAUUUGCGACCUAGCAAGACUUUGUGGCAUUGCCACAGGGCUGCAUUGCUGCUGGAGGAAUACCUUGCAUGGGUUUAGCUGCUGCAAGAUAGAUGGCUGAACAGAUGGUAUUUGUUGUUGCGGUAGAACUGGUUGUUGGUGUUGUGAAAAUGGUGGUUGUUGCAGUAGAAUUGGUUGUUGUUGUUGCUGCGAAAAUGGUGGUUGUUGCUGCUGCUGAGAAAAUGGUGGUUGUUGCUGCGAAAAUGGUGGUUGUUGCGGUAAAAGUGGUUGUUGUUGCUGCGGAAAUUGUUGUUGUUGCUGCGAAAAUGGUGGUUGUUGCGGUAGAAUGGGUUGUUGUUGCUGCGAAAAUGGUGGUUGUUGUUGUGAAAAUGGUGGUUGUUGUUGCUGCGAUAAUGGUGGUUGUUGUUGCUGUGAACAUGGUGGCUGUUGUGGAAAUGGUUGUGGUUGUUGUUGGAUGGGUUGUUGUUGUUGGUACCAUAAUAUUUGUUGUAGUGGUAAUGGUUGUUGUUGCAAUGGUUUCUCCAAGCUAGGGAUGUGGCUAGUCUCCAUUUGUGCAAUGGCACUUGUCGCCGCAACGGCGAGGAGGGCAAAGAUGAGGAAGGUCUUCAUGGUGGAUUGGUGUUAAAUAGUGUUGCUUGGUUUUGAUGCUUGUGCUUGUGAUGAUCAUUAUACUUCAUGCCUAUUUAUAGUAGCCCGUGCACCAUCUCUUUCCUUCUUUGCAUCAGCUUUAAUAAUUGUGUUUGGAUGUUUCUGAAAUGGAUUUUUGGUACAUUAUGGUAGGUUGCACUAGCUAUAAGCGUACUUUUGGAUUGAUCAUCAAAGUUGCUUUUUGGUUGUGCAUAUGAUUAUACACAAAGUACAUGAUGUUUGAAGUAGAUGACUUGCCUUAUUCACUUUACAUGUCACGCAUUUAUCAGGAUAGUAUCACUUCUACACCCGAUUUGGGAAAAAGUACAUAAUCUUUGCUAUAGAUAACUUGCCUUAUUCGCUUUACAUGUCAUGCACUUAUCAGGAUAUUAUCACUUUUACACCCGAUUUUGGAACCUUGUAUAGGGUGUCAGCCUUAAACAAGAAAAGGAAAAACUUGUGUAGGACUAAGUUGCAAUCAUGUGUGGGUUGUUAGGAUAUGCUCCAUUAUUAAAGCCUUACAUGUGGAGGGUUCUUCUAGACUCGAUUGUUUUUUAUAGAACUAACUAUGUAUUGUCCUUUAAGAUGAUAAGAUAAACUGACACCUAUAGAGCAUGACAUGACUCAUCGAAUUCCCUUUACAUGUAAAGGAUUGUAAUUGCUUACAAGUCACUAACAUAUAUCCGGUCCUAACUCUAGACACAUCAUCAUUAGUUUGAUCUUUGUGUUAAGGAUUUUUAUUUGAUCAGAUCAUUCUUUUGGCGGACUAAGUUUGCAAUAUUGUGUAAAUAUUUCACGGGGUGCACCUGGUCUCUUUUACUAAAUCUUUGGGGCAGGAGGUUGAUAUUUAUUUGAAUUGUGUAGAACAUUUACAUAGGUAACCUACUAGAAUUAUUAUAUGUUCAUUAUACUAUGACGACAAACAUAUAUAGUUUGGUUUACUGUGGUUCAUGUUUAGGUGUAUAAGAAUGAAUUUAUGUAUAUCGAGGUACUUUAUCAACCCAAAAUGAAAAAUGCCAAACAUUUUAACAUUUUUCAUCAACAAACCUUUAGAACCCCUAUUCGCGGCUAUCCUCCUAGAUCAUGGACAACCAGCAUAUUUCAUUUGUAGGAUUUUGACAAGGUCUUGAUUCUCUCCCACAUAAAAUGUUCUAGAUUGUUUCAUGGCAACUUGUUUGUGCCCGGAUAUUUUCAAUCUUCUUAUCUAGGCCAUACAUAUGUUUUUCUGUCAUUAAUCUAUUAACUGCUGAAUGAAGAGGUCCCAAAUGAUAAAGAAAAACUAUGUUAGGAGUAUGGGCAUCUCCACCACUUGUUUCAAUAAAACCAGAGGAUUUUAUGAUUAUGAAUUUGGUUCGAAAUAUGUUAAUGAUAUGUGCACUCGAUCUGAGCCAAUAUCCGAUGAAUUGAAAAGUGUUAAAUGGCCCAUGGAUAAAUUUAUAUUUGUUCACAAGUAUCAGAAAUCUGGAAUGGUGACACUACAUAUUCAAUUCAAAUUUGAAAAUACAUCUGAUCCCAGCUACGGAGGUCGCCAUGUGCCUCAAAGGAGUCUCCAUCGCAACUCUGGUCGUCUGCAAUUACACUAGAUGGCAGGCUAGUCUGUCAUCCAUCGUGGGAAUCCGCCGACAGGGCAGGUCAGAGGUCCUGUGGUUGCAACUAGCAGGUUAUUCAUCCAAUCUAUGUCCGUCAGUUAGUGCUCGAUCCUGCAGUAAAUGGUACUUGUAUGGAUAUAUAGUUGCAGAGAGGAAUUUCUUUGACUAGUGUUCGAUCUGAUUGCUAGCUGGAUUGGUGGAGAAAUUGCUACUUCCUCGUGCUAGGGCAGCAGUGGACAAUUAGUACAGACAGACCUGGCAAAAAAAUCCAAUGCGUAUAUUAAGUGGAGAUAGUACUAGAUCUGAUGUCUGCAGGAGAUACUAGUAGAUGUUAUACUGCACACUGGCACAGUAUGAGGUCAUUAUGUUGUUCUGUACAAAGUCUGUCACUUAGAUGUACAUAUAUGAGUGACAACCGCAUAUAUAUUUCUUGCAAAAUCCAUGCUUCCUUGCAGGUGGAAGGCCCUCAUGGUGCCCCCGAGACAGAGCCUGUUCCCUAUUUGGUACGGUGAGUAUUGAAUCGAAACGCAAAAUAUGCACUUAUUGAUUUGUCGAUCUCACAUUAUAUGCAUCUGAUAGGAGAGGUUAUCGUCAGAGGUUGUGGAACAAUCUGAAGGACACUUGUGGUUAAGCAGCAGCAUCAGGUGAGGUGUUCAUGUCAGUCAGUUGGUGGUCAGACUGGCACUUGUUUAAUUUGGAUGGUACAAUUUUCUAUUCACAUUGGUAAAUGCCAAUGGACAAUGACCAGCUUGGAUUCGCAUGUUGAAUUUGGAUGAUACAGGUGAGGAAGAAACUAAAAAAACACUAGUUAUGUGGUCACCUGGAACUCCAGAGUGUUUCUUGGUGCCAUAUAGUCUUGCUUUGCUGCAGUUAUAGACUUUAUAAAUGCCCUGAGCUAUUUUGGCAGCAUCGGUGUCGUUUCAUUGUUGUUUUAGCAGGGGCUUUUGAUAAAAAGAGAAGUGAAAAGAAAAAUAUUACGCACGCCUAGGUUAUGUCAUGAUUGUUAUCGGCUUUGUCGAACUUUGACCUCUGUCUUCUUCAGAUAACUGUAAUGUGAAUUAAUAAUCUCCUUCCACAUUUCCUAGGAUUAUAGAAGUUGGUAUGUUGUCGCAGCUGUGAAGUACUUAUCUUACCAAUUAUAGUGUCGUUACUUAGUUGAGGUGACAAUGUUGGAAUUAUGUGUCCUGCAACUAUAUUCAAAUUACUUGGAAUUGUUAAUAUUCGAAUUGCCUCAUUAUGAAAUUAUACAUGUAUUUAUACAUGGAAUUGCUUUACAUGUUUAGCAUGGAAUUGUUACUUGCUGGAAUGUACUUAAGUAAUAUAUGCUUAAGGAAGCUGGUCAAUUCUCAGUAGAAUAUAAUAUUACUAUUUAUAUUGAAAAUACUACCCGGGAACGCUGAUGAUUUGAAGGAGCUAGAUAGUGUAGUUAGAUUAUAGUCCUAAUGUUGAUCUACAUAAUUAGAGGAAUUUACAUUCUAUUAUGAUGUGUUGCUCACAAGCGCGUGCUCCAGGGACAUAACGGAUAGAAUCUGUUAACAAACAAAUACGAUCGUGGUUGGUAAUUUGAUUUAGACUCUAUCCAGGAAACUAGUUGUAACGACUAGGAAUCUUAUAUGUAUAAGAGGUGGACUCUUUGAAAAGACAGUACAAGAAGGUGCCAUCUCUAGUCCAGAUAUGCGAAUUGUGAGCGGCGCCAUGGAUAAAUAGACCACAAACCCUAAAUUUCUAACAGACAAGACGUUGAAAUUUUAUCUUGUGUUCGGAUAGCAUUAUUUGAAACCGUGAGUUGUCUGUUUCUGUACUGAUGGCACCCCAAAAGUGCUGGUUACUGGGGAGGUGUAUGCGGCAUGCCGAAUCAUUCUUCCUCGGGAGGCCCUAAAGCUUCAACUUGUUGAGAAACUGUCUGCACUCUGCAGUUUGGAACCUUACGGAAGGAUGCUGUGAAUUUCAUGGAUAGUGGGCUUCCCUGAUGGCUGCUCUGCUACUGCUAGCUUACGGAAUGGCUUCUACAACUGAACUGUACUGCAGUCGCUCUUGACUGAGAAUUGUUGGGGCCCGCGGUGUAGGGUGACUGCUUGGCGUUGAGUUGAGCUGCAACGCUGAAUCAAACCCUGGACGACACAAACGAUCUGAUCUAGAUUUGGUUUGAUGCUCGUCCUUUGGGUUGGUACCCAUGACAGGCACGGGUCGCCAGCAGUUUACUAUCAUCCAUGGUUCUUUAGCCCUGUGGUGUUCUACUUAUCUGAAAAACUUCUUGUUUUUGAAAUGUCAACUGGGGUAUAUAUAUUUUUCAAAAACAGGAAGUCAUCAGUUUGUGAUCAUACAGCAGAGGUGAAGAGAGGGGCAGAGGGCCAGGCAGUUACACAUAGAUUACAAUAUACAGACAGCAGCCAGGCGGGGUGUCAGCGAGCAGGGUUGCUAGAAUGAGCUGAAUUGCCUCUUUUUUCUACCGAACCUGAAGAUUUGUGCCUAACAUUGAAAAGGUUCCAUAUGACGAUGCAAUCCAAAUUGCCUUUUCGAUCGACUACUCUCAUAUGUAGUAGGUUAUACCAAUGACAACAACAGCAGAUUUAUAUCCCACAAAAAACAUGCAGCAGCAGUGCAGCUGAAGCUAAAAUAUAUAUGUUGGUUACUGAAGCUAAGUCGUAAGCACUUUUCACGGUGAUGAUCCAGGCUUUUCCUUGUUUCCACAUAAUUACCUGAGUUCAAUGAUCUGCAUUUCUCAGGUAUCGCUUGUUUCAUACAUCGAAUGCUAUUUAUCGGCCUAUCCAUGCAAUUUGAAAAUUCACUGCUGAAUGUCGGUUGUGUUCUGCGAAUAAGUGAAUGGUGGUGGUUAUUUGAAACCUAUGCCCAAUUGUGGUGGUUACUUGCAAUAUACUCCUAGAGCUUAAAGCACACGUUUUGGGCAGUAAGUCAGAUAUAUGCAUUAUAGUUUCUUUCUUGAAAGCUAUGUGUUAUGUGACACUGAUCAGACUACUAGUUCUGGAAACAAAUACAUGUGCAGAUGCCAUGCCAGCUUAUGCAAGUUGGUUAACAUUUUUGAAAAAUGAGUGGCUGUGUGCAUCACACAUAGGCCUGGAUUUAACCUCCUUUCCCGGGGGAAAAGGCAAGUUACUUAAUAGUUACAAUCAGGUUAAGUAACUGAAGAAAUUAAGCAGUUGACCCAAAUGCAGCUUUCAGGCUGCCCCAAGCAACAUUAAACUGGGCUUGUGUAAAAUAUUAGUGCAGUUUAUGGUCAGAUGGCCUUGUCGAGAUCGAUGAUGGAUAUUUUAUUUUGGUUGUAUGUUUCGAUCUAAUCCAUAACUGAUGAUACUACAUGCAACUAGGACACGAGUGAAUAAUCUACUUAAGAGCUGCAUCAUGAAGGGAAAACAAGUAAGCUAAGUACAUGGAUUAGAGCAUCUGCACACAUCUCAAGUGGUUGACUUAAGACUGAUUAACAAGCUUAUGUUGUUUCUUACUGAAGCUAGAGCAGACUUGUAUUUCAAGGAAGCGAGAAUGUAUAUAAGUCUUGCUCACGUCUCCUUCCCCUCUCUUGUACCUAUAACUAUCUAUCUCUCCAUUACCAGAUCAUCAGUAUUUACUUGUAUGACGGCAAAAAAUAAUAACAAGAAAAAUUUCACUGCAGAACCUCCUUCAGGCACAAAAUAAUGACCCGAGGAAUAACAAAGUUGGUUUCAAUGAAAGUAAUUAUCGAAGGAGGUUUCAAUACCCAAUGAAUUUAUGUAUGAUUGACUAAUGGUCCUACCUUUUCCAUAAUAUGUUGCUGGUUUUCCUUGAUAAUUGUUUGGAAAGCGUUGAAUUUAGCAUGUUUUAAUCACAAGUGGCCUUCUGAUCCGUCUGUUAUCAUGUUUAGGGUAGCUUACUGGAAUAAUGAUUGGAGUUCCCUGUAGGUGAUGGAGGACGCAAAACGAGCGCUACGACGGGACGCAGGACUUCUGGAAUGAGUCACAACUAAAGUUUUUCAAGCCAGAAAAAGCUUGGUGCCAUGGAUUCCCCGGCUGGAAGAUGGGACUUGAAUUUGGGAUUGUGUCUAUUCCAUUAGUGGUGUUGUCCUGGUUAAUAGCUGGGUGUUGGCAUCGGCAUGUUCAUUGUAAAACACUGUGUAUUUUCGUGUCUUCGUUGUGUUGGUUGUUCCCCUACUCUGUUGCUCAGCUAGGGUUGCAAGGAGGGAUGCCUUAAAAACUUAAUUCCGUGUCCGUGUUGUGUUGGUGGUGGUUGCGUUUUGGUUGUAAAAACCACUUGGUUUCAUUAAUGAAACUGAUAAAAAAAAGUAAGCAUAAACCUUUCAGUGGAAUAUCCAAAAAAGUCCAGGCCAACUGUUUUGAGAGAACAUUUUGCAAUAAGAAAAUUUAGUAGCUACAAUCAGAAUAGAAAUGUUCUUAUCUGAUUCACAUGUUAUCCAUUUGUUCUCUUGUGUUUAAGUGAGUAAUUGCACCAAUUUCGAACAUACAAUAGGUCGUCAAUGUAGCUCAUAUGAAGUGUGCAAUAAGUAAUGAUCCGUGGUAUGGGAGUAUACUCUUCAUAUUCACAUUGACUACACAAACCAAACUUUAUUAUCAGAUCCACACUGACAAGAUAUGAUCCCAAACACACAACCAAACAUAUAUCAUAACUAUAACAAACAAAUGGACAUGGAUUUUUGAAUUAAUAGAAUAUCCCAGGCUAAAAAUCCACAGAUUACUUGAAAAGGAAAAAAUUGACAAAGCUUGUACAGUUCCUUUCAUAGCUACCCGUAUAUGGGUAGCUACAGCCCACCUAGUUUUUGAACAUAUUAUUGGAUGGUGGCGCCAGAUGUAGUGUCCUGCAAAAAAAAGGUAUAAUCAACAUGGCUACAUACCAAGAAACCAAUCAUUAAGGUACUGAUGGAAAUUUGUCAGGAAAAUGUAACAAUCAUAAUGCCAGAUGACUAAAACUAGCUUUGAAAUUUAUAGGCUUAUUUGUUACAUAACCUUAACUACGUCCAAUUGUCAAUACCAUGACGUUUAAAUUUCUUUCAGCUGGACAAGAUAUACAUGCUAGAAACACGAAGAAAAAUAUAUACAGAUUAAGUAGUUGAAUGUAUGUACUUACAGAAGCUUUGACGUAGAAUGCAUGGAUAUUGAGUUCUUUAAUAGUUUGGAACGUAGGGGGGUUGGUGAGUGCGUAAUACUUGAUGAUCCCACGUGCCAUAGCAAACUCUCCAGUCCCACCCAUAAUGGCCAUCUGGCCUUGGCCUGUUUGAAAAUUGAUCCCCAUCGCUUCGAAUGAUGAUCCAUUGUACCUGAUAUAGUUUUAUAGGGCAAUAUCACAUAUCAUAUGAAACUGGAAAAUCUUUAGUAUUUGAGAUCUUUGUAACAAACCAUAUAUGCUAUAUAACCGGGAAAACUAAAACUUGUACUAGUCCAAAAGUAUAUAAAAAUGACCUAGAGUUCUUCUCGAACACCAUGCUGAAGUAGUUGAACCAGCCUGGACCGGCUACAUCAGCCUGCACUUGCAUGCCUUUGGUACGGGCAACAAUGGUGGCAGUAGCGGGGUUUGGUCCAUCAAUCACAGUCCAGUCGGUAACUGCAGUUAGACCAAACUCUGAUGGUUUGCUGGAGGUAACAAUUGCUACCUGGUUGAUGCCUGGUCCGGCGGCGAUUUGGUGCAAGUACAAGCGCAUGUUAACCUCGGACUCACACUGAAGAACACAGGAUAGGGAUGCAGAUGCCAUGGAUAGAAUGGAAUGCAGGAUUAGGAUCAUGGACAGGACUAAAAGGCUAGGGCUAGCCAUUUCUAGCUAGGAUUUUGGCUGGCUGAAGAAGAUGGUAGCUAGGAGGUGUGUCCGUAAACUGACUCUUUCCUUUGUCGAGUGUGUUAGCUGUGUGAGAGACACUUGAGUCUAGGGUACUAUUUGUAGUGCUCCAGAACUAGCUAGCAUAUUCGUUCCAUAUCCUCUUUUUUCAUUUCUCUUUGGGAUGAUCCAUUUCAUAUCCUUUUUAGUUUCUUUUUUUUUCAACUGUCAUUUCAGUUAGGAUAGACAACUACACAUGUGUGACUGAUUCCUUGUACAUCUAUCAACCCUCGGAGAUCACAAAGGUCAAGUGCCUUUUGAGGAACUACCCUUUUUUCCUUGAAAUACAAUGUGUACAUGGUAAUGCAGCAUUGACAAAGACUAAAAUGAAUUAGACGCCCAUUCUUAUCUUUACAUCUAAUUGUAUCUCCGGAUGAGCAGCAGCCUAGAUUUUCCACCUGGACAACGAGCACACUGUCACUACUCCUACAAUACAAAGUUCAAAUACAAGGAUUCAUCGCCGUUGAAUCUGUGAAUCGAUGCGCCGCUCCCCCGCUCCCCCGCUGGGGAAUCGGGUAAAAGGCCGCUCCCCCGCUCCCUAGGGUUUCCCCGCCGCCGCCGGCGGCUCCCCCGCGCGGAGCCGCCGCCGCGGCGGCCGGAGACCGCCGGAGCCGCCAGCCCCCUCCUCUCCCCGUUCCCCUUCUCCUCCCCCCACCCCUCCUCCGCGCCCCCGUACCCCCGCGCCGCCUCCCCGAGCGAGGCGGCCGGGGGCCCUUCCUCCGUGCGCCUCCAGCCCCUCCCCACGCCCAUCCCUCCUCCCGCCGCCGUCAGCCUACGCCGCCGGUCCUCAGCCGCGUGAUGCUGGCGGCGGUGGGCUUGCCCUUCCCCGCUCGCGGUCCUCCCCUGCUCGGGCGAUGAUGGCCGGAGGCGGUGCGCCUUGGCCGGUGGUGGUCCGGCGUCCUUGUUGGAGGCCGGCGGUGCUCGCCGUGGUGGUGCCGCCUCUUGGCGGCGGGGUGGUCCGGUGGUGCUGGCCGGCUGGGGGCGUGUCCCCGGCCCAGAUCUGGGCCCGUAGGGUCCCUUCCGGGUCCUUGCGGGUUGGCUCCGGCGCGACCGUGACGCUCUCUGUAUGGGGAGGCAGGGGAGCGGCUUGGAUUGGGACAGCGACACAGAUGGUGUUCCAGCUGCUGCGCGGAGGCGGGAGCUGUCCGGGCCUUUGACGGCCCGGCCGGGCCUAUGGGGCCACGGGCCCGGUAGGCUCCUGCCAUGGCGUCCGGUCGGCUACCGUCGUGGACGGUGGAGGUGGGGCCCUCCCGUAUGCCAACGGUGUUGUUGCCCUAGUCCCGGCUCCUCUUCUCCGUUGUGCAGACCAUCUUCGUGGUGCCGUGGUGAGACAGCGUGGGAAGCUUCAUGUCCGUGUUGGCGCAGGGUGGUGGCCGGUCUGGUGGCGAGCUCCGGAGUGCCUGAGGUAGAGGCUGGGAUCGGGAGAAAUCUCUGUUGGCUUGGUCAACACCGACGUGGUGGCGUCUGAGGGUGCCGCCGGACCUUCCUUGAGGGCGUCGGGGCUACCCUUCCUCUCUCCUCGUCGUGUACCGGGGGAAACCCUUGGCAGCAGCGUCGUCAUCGUCGCGUCCCUUCUUGGAGGUGUUGUUGGGUACCGGCACUUCGGAGUCUCGGAGCUUGGUGGGCGAUCUCCGGUGGGCGCAGCGGUCACGAGGCUUCGUCGUUUUUGUCGAUCCACCAUUAUCGGCAUUUGUUUCUUUUCUUUUUUCUCUUUCCAUUCUUUUGGGCAUGUUUGUGCUGCUUCCGCCCCAGCCCCUAUCGUCGGUUGUAUUGGUUGAUUGCUUUGUAAUACAAAGCGGGGGGAAACCCCUUUUCUCAAAUCCAAGGAUUCGUGCUGCUUGUAAGUUAGAUACAUAGUUCAUCAAAUGACAUUUAAUUAUCUGGCUCAGUUUAUAGCUGCGAUUGGAGAUGCAACCCCCCACCCAUGGAACCCAGGUCAAAAGCUUUCCUUUCACCUCUUCUUUCCGCCGCCACCGACGUCGCUGCUCUUGUUGGGGCAGACUUGAUGCCAAAGACAGGAGGAAGCGGCCUUGGCAACAUCGCUGGUCUUGUUGAGGCAGCCUUGAUGCCAAAGACAGGAGGAAGCCGCCACACAACACUUCAGUUUGGUGGUGCUCUUCAAAUACCGGAUCUCGAUUUCCAGAGGGGAAACUCUAGCUCAGGCCUUCAUUCACUGUACGUUGGAAUGGCGAUGUUUCGACAUUGUUCCCUUGUUGAAGACAUUGUCUUGAGAUUGCUCGGAAGUCCUAUUCAGGGUGAAAACUCAUGAUCUAGCCUCUAUUAGAUUGGUGACAACAGUGAUCAUCCCUUUCCUAGAGGUGUCGUUGUUGGAGAUCCUUUCUCAUAGUUCGGGUAGUUCCAUUAGCGCAGGUUGGUGUUGGCCACUGAUGCAUGCCAUUGAUUGCUUCAACAUGAAUUUUGUAUGUCCUGUCUUUUUUUAAUAAUUUGGAUGUGUGCAACCCUGAUGGCUGGAUUAGCACAUUGCUUCUUGUAGAGGCUGCAGGGUGGAUGGGAGUGGGGCCGGGGGCAGUGGUGCCGACCGAAAACUAGCAAAUUUACUAUCAUCUUGAUUAACAUAUUUUUAGCGGUUUGUUCCUUGCAAAAAAAGACUAUCAAUGUAUCAAUUAUGCAAGCUAGUUUAAGACCAUUCACAAAUUAUUAUCAAAUGGUUCUAUUAAUGUCAACUGCAUUCAGGAGUCAUGCAUGACGUCAACCAUGUCAAAUUAUUGAAGGUUUAACCUCUGGCUUAGAAACAAAACUUAUGCGUACCAUAGGCCUGCAAAAAUUAAACCACUGUACAUGACAACCACACAAAUAUAAUACCUAGUGGGCAACCUCCGUACGACAACCACAGAAAUAUAAUACUUUUGACAAGUUUAUCAAUGCUACUUGCGUGUUGUCUAAUAAGUAGUGACCUUCAUAAGGAAUUGCGUCGAUCCAAGGAUAACAUCUUAAUUAGCAUACUACUAAGAUUCGAAGACAUAUACUCUUGAAAGUCAGUUGUGCCAUUAGUCAGAUGUGUAUACAGUAUACAAUCCAAUUGUAUGUAUAUGUAUGUCAGUAUGUGUGCUCAUCAACGGUUCACCAUGUUUUGAAGCAACCCAGUCAUCAGUAUGACCGAGUGUUCAGAUAUAUCCAGUAUACAUGCAUUCACGAGUGCUCUUAUUGCUUGUGUGUAACCCAUGUGGUGUGUUUGUUGAUGUAACUUCAUCAAAUAUGCAUCUAUAAUUGAAGGGAGAACCUAUCCUUCAAUUAUGGAUUAGUCGAUUUUCCUAGCCUACUGUUUAUCUUUUUCGCCCACCCUUCUCCACUUCUUUGACCCGUUCCCAACCGUCUGCCAAGCCGUCUGCUAUCUGUGGUGCCGCCAGCCACGCCGUCCGCCGUCGGUGGUGCUUCCGCGUGUGCCCCGGAGCCCUGCCCUGCUCAGUUUGAGCCGCCAUCUCUGCCAUCCCUCUGCACCCUGGCCAUCCCUACAAACCUCCCCACAGUCCCUGGNNNNNNNNNNNNNNNNNNNNNNNNNNNNNNNNNNNNNNNNNNNNNNNNNNNNNNNNNNNNNNNNNNNNNNNNNNNNNNNNNNNNNNNNNNNNNNNNNNNNNNNNNNNNNNNNNNNNNNNNNNNNNNNNNNNNNNNNNNNNNNNNNNNNNNNNNNNNNNNNNNNNNNNNNNNNNNNNNNNNNNNNNNNNNNNNNNNNNNNNNNNNNNNNNNNNNNNNNNNNNNNNNNNNNNNNNNNNNNNNNNNNNNNNNNNNNNNNNNNNNNNNNNNNNNNNNNNNNNNNNNNNNNNNNNNNNNNNNNNNNNNNNNNNNNNNNNNNNNNNNNNNNNNNNNNNNNNNNNNNNNNNNNNNNNNNNNNNNNNNNNNNNNAACCUGUCAAGCCAUUUUCCUCUCCUCCGUCUGCGACCGUGCGGCUAGUCACGACAUCCCGUCUCGUGCUCGAUGUUGCGGUGUGUUGCUCUCUGCAAACCGAGUUGGAUGACGCGAGGAAAAGAAUCAAGACUGAGUAAUAGAAAUUUCCAUGAUUGAAUAUUUCAGUUUGGCAAAACUUUUCAUACAUUUCUAUGGAUUUUCACUGUCAUAGAAACAAAAAAACGUAACAAGGAAAGAAGACGAUGUCCCUUCAUAGGAUUGCAUGGAGGUAACAGAGAUCCAUGUCUUGAAAACGUGGGAAAGAAAGGAGCACGCAAUUGAAAACAAACACCUCAUAAAACUUACACUAGUGCAUACUACGUCGUAAGAACAUCUACAACCGAACCCAAAUGUGACCCCUACACGUCCGUGGAUGCGUCCACAGACAGCGACCGGUCACCCCUUAUAUCUCCGCGUCCUCUUCCGUCCCCCUCAAAUCCAUGCUAACAACAAAACGUCAUCAACAUUUUAUGUAGAAACAAUUUGAACAUAGCAGUAUAAAAACAUAUAUAUUGGGAAUGGCAAGUUUCAUACAAUCGGACACAAAAUGUCCAUCAUCACCUAGAUAUGAUAAGCCUAAACAAUAGAUAAACUCCUACAUGUAGGCGUUGGCUGUCGGAGGGGAUUUGUCGUUGUCCUCGCUCAUCAUGCCGCUGACAUAGGACAGCAUCGAGGAGAUGAUCCCGACCAGACGCCGGACGGCGCAGGCCUGCUCCUUGGUGAGUCGGGCGGCUCUCGUGAGGUUCCUGAAAUCGUCGAUGUCGAGCCAGAGAGCCUUUGCAGUUUUCCUACGUCGGGCAUCCAUCUCUGCUGAUGUCAAUUUUCAGAGGCUGACAUCACGGAGGAGCUCCUCCUCCAGGUCAACCAGCGUGGACCUACAGAAUUCGCAGACACUGCAGGAGGAACCAGCAUUCUCACAGACCUACUGCCUAGCACGGCCGGCUCGCGCCUCUCAUUUGUACGUCCUCCUUGAAAGCUCGUGGUGCGGGAACAAGCAUCCUGCUCCAACCGGGAGGAGCGGAGCCCAAAGUGGUAGAGUAGGGUCACAAAGGGCGAUGGAUCUGGACCGGUGCAAACCGCGACGGGCUGCAUUGCCUCGUCGGCCAACGGGAUAGAAGGCAGAGCUCAAAUUCCUACCCCUGUCCAUCCAUGACCGGCGGAGCGAGGCGCAUGCAAAGGGCGAGUUCUCCUCAUCAUCCAGAUCCGAUUGCGGCAAGGCAUCCCAGUCGAUGGGCUUCGCCUCGUUGCUGGAUCCGCCACUGAAAUCGCUGCCAGAAUCAACCCAUAUGGUAGCCUGAGAAGAGGAAGCAAUGGAGAUGGGAGCGAACAUGACUGGAGUGGAAGGGGAGAGAAGAAGCCAGCACUGAGCUAUGUUUGCACCCUAGUGGAGAUGGGUCGGGCGAGCACGAACGGGUCCAAUAUGACGGCCGCGUCAGGGAGUGUCGAUCUACCCCAGACGAUAGGGCUAACUAUGUGGGGUCCGGUUGGGUGGCAAUUAUGGGCUGAGUAGUGACCGGGCUGUCCGCCCAUACGUUUGGGAGGAUAUGAGUGCUCCUUUGUACAUGCUUUAAAUCUGGGCAUGAGAAGCCGCACCUGCCGGUGCCUAUGCUGGGCUUGUCCCUCUUAGCUGGAAAGCCCCAAAAAGUCAAGGACCUUAUUUUUGGGAUUUUAUAUGAGAAAUAGGUAUGGUAUUGUAUCAAUUUGUCCUAAAAUAAUUCUUUUAUUAUAUUUAAAUAAAAAUAUAGCCAUUUUCGUGGCCAAGCGAGGUGGGAUAAGACCCGGGCUCGGAAUUUUCAGGCCGGGAUCUAGCAGGUCCGUCAGUUUUAAUCAAUUUAUUUCUUUUUCAGUUCUAAGCUGUUUUAAGUACCUGGUCAGCAAUCUCUAACCAAUGAUAAGAUAACAAGACUAGGCCUACUAUCAAUUUUCAUAGUCAAUUGUGUCCCUGGUCACAUUACUCCAAUCCAUCUAUAUUUAUGCGUGCUCAUAACCAGUUCACCUUGUUUGAAAUAAGCCCAGUUAUGUUUCCUUUUUGCAAGAAAGUACCGCAUUUAUAUUAAAUGACUUCCAACAUCCCGGAAAACAGAUCGUCGACGUGGUCCAGUGCAUCACAGGUGGCAACAAUGAACUGAAAGAAAUUGCGAAAUUUAAGGUAGUUGUUAGUGGCAGGAUCUAGUUUGAAGGUGAUCUAGGAAUGGAUGUUGGUUUUAUGGACGGUAUGGGGGCCUAGAGUUAGGAAAAAGGAUUGAGAGGGUAAUAGAGAGAGCACCAGCUACAGUAUUGAGGGCACCAUGGAGCUGAGAAACUGGGAGAGGUUUAACACCCUCUGGUUCUGAAGAAGAAGAAAAAUAAUACCACAAGCCUGCAAAGUAAACCAACAUAUAGAAUUAAGAAGCAAUUUAACAAUACUUAGUGGGCAAUCUCCGUGACAACCAUCAAAAUAUUGCUAUGCUGUUAAGGAAUUAUUUCUUUGAAUAAGCUUGGUACUAGUUGUAAUAGUUGCAUGUUGUCUAAUAUGUGACGUUAGUAAGGAAUUGCGUCAAGCAAAUUAUAGCAUCUUAAUUAUCAUAUUACCAAGACCUGAAGAUAUAUACAACCUUGAAGCCUUAAGAGCUAGAGCCAUUGCCUAUUUUUUCUUAGAAAUUGGGCCAACCCUGUCGCGUACGGAUUUAUUUAGUAGUAAUUAUUCUGUAUAUUUUCAUGGAUAUAUAGGAAUAGGCAGUGUAUAUGUGGAGUGCACACAAUCUUGUUCAACUUUUCUUUGCUGGAAGUAAGCUGUUUUAAGUACUUGGUCAGUAAUCACAAAUCAAUGAUAAGAUCGUAAGACUGGGCCUACUAAUAUAAUCCCUCCGUCCCAAAAUUCUUGUCUUAUAUUUGUCUAGAUACGGAUGUAUCUAAUACUAAAAUGUGACUUGAUACAACCGUAUUUAGACAAAUCUAAGACAAGAAUUUUGGGACAGGGGAGUACUUUCAAAGUCAACUGCGGCCGCUAGUCAGAUGUGUACCACAAGACAGUUACAUAUAUCAUGCUCAGCACGAGUUCACAUUGUUUUAAAAGCAACCCAGACAUAAGUAUGAGUGUUAGUUCAAACAUAUUUGUAAAAGAACACUCGUUUAUACACUUUAGGAGUUAAUACAUUCAUGAGUGGUUUUUUCAUCAUGUAACUGGCACGGAGUGUUACUGAAUAUAACUUUAUUAUUUAUUACAUUUCUUAGGAUUCUUCCUAUCAUGAAACUAGCGGUACUGCCUGCUCAGUUGCGCGGCAAGAUUUUGAUUUGUCAUUUUAAAUUUGGAAACUAUAUUUUGGCAUUUUAAAUAUUUCUUAACACUUUGUAAAUAUGCAUUCUUGUAAUUACCUAAUUGCGAAUGAGGAAUUCAUCAGCAAAGGAAUGCCAAGAAAUAGUCGGUCCCACAAAAAAGGCUGAAAUUAAGUGUUUUUACUAAAAGACAUUCAAUUAGAACAUAUCAUGUAAGAAGGCCUAAAUUCAUCCAUACAUACGCAUUAAGUAUACUUGUGGGGUUAACAAUUUUAAGCAUGUAUACAUGUACAUCUAUUAUCUAUUAUAUAAUUAAGACAAGAGGCAAACAAGCCAUCACGUUCGUCCACAUAUGAUAAUAUUUUGUACACCGUUUCAUUAGAAUAAUAACGGUUGAGAUUUAAAGAUUCUUACGUAACAUCGUAAAAUAGAUGUGCCAGUACAAUUGAACUGUCAUGUUGUCAUGUUAUAUGCAUGUAUAAGCAUUAGGUAUGUAAAAAGAAGAAAAAAAGAGUAAAAAGACAUAUUGGUUUGUCGCGUUACAUGUACCGUCACGUAAAAGAGAUGGACACAGAAGGGUGCAAAUAACCAUGACGUGCACACAUGUACAUACAUGAAUAAGAGUUCUAGGAAAACUAAAGAUGAAAGUAGGGUCACGUGAGAAUUAGAAAGGGAAACCUAGGGGACGAAACUAGAACGUGAAGGCAGACUUCAACUUGGACACGUACAUGUUCUCAAAAAAAAAAAACUUGGACAUGUGCAUGUAACGGAGAAAAAAGCUUUGCAUGAAGGGUAUUCACUGGAAAAGAAUAUGCAUAUGUAAAUCUACCAACUUACAAGGAAACAUACUAAAAAGUCUAGCGUUCUAACGCAUAGCAUAAAAACCUUAUACUCUAUACUGUUACACAACAAAAAAUCAGCUAUUAGGCUCAAAUUAAAAUUUAACCGGUAGAACUGCACAUGCAAUUCAAACUAAAUAUAUUAUUGGUAAUUAGUCAUUCGCUAAUUUAUGAGAAGACGCUGCAAGACAACAAUAUAUUACCGAUUUUAUAUGAAUAUACACCAAUAGUUUUUUUUAAAAUAUACACCAACAGUUCUUAGCCUUAUAUGGUCAGGCUACAUAAACAAUUAGAGUACGAGGACUUUGUCAAGAACAUUUAGAAGCAUGUGUCGAAAGCCGAUAUCGAUGAUACUGCACUAUCUAUAAAAGGAAUGCACAACAAAUAGAGGUACACAACAUAAAUCUUACAUAUUUAAUUGAUGAUGAAAUGAUUUGGCGUGGUAAGAAUCUAAGAUAGGUGUAAUUGGUCACCUUUCGUCGGGCAUCGGUGGAUGUCGAAAGGAUUUCAACCUAAAAGACACACAUUUCAAGUAUAAUAUUUUUUGUAUUUAAAAAUCACAUAUCAGUGGCAAUGUGGCAUUCGACUUAACAUUUAUGUGUUGGAGGAAAUAGCGACUAACCAAGAGCAGUAGAAAUGUGGAAUUUGAUUAGUGUUAUGGGACAAGCGGCUAGCUUGGUAAGCUACCAACAAAAAAUUGCAAUCAAUGAUUAGUGUUAUGGAAUUAUAUGGCUUAGUAUUGUAAGGUGCUGAUCUCCAUGACAUAGCACACUUGAAAGAAGUAUUGUUAAACUGACGAUUCCAAGGUCUUAUGGCUUUCUCGGAGAUGCACAUUUUGGUCAUACGUUACUAUAUAAUAUAAAAGUUGGUGUUGAAAACAAUACUACAUAACAAUUAGACUCGAAUGAAUGAUAGAGAAUAUUUUACCAAAAGAAGAAAUCAAGCAUUAAUUAAGGAAAAAUCUGUGUCCUGCCUUUUUUUUGUUUUGAAAUCCGGUUAUAUUCAAAUAACUGGGCAGUGGGCACCAUUAGAACUGAACAAGCCCUGGACAGCCCAAGCGAGAAUAUUGUAUCAACUUUAACCAUGAAGUGGCUUUGAUAGUUACCUCACAAUGAGAAGAUGUACAAGCAUAUAAACGUAUAUAUGGAUAUAUGACAUGUAUUUAUAAGAACACAUGUGCAUAAACAGACGGUGUAUUGCUACAAGCCAACAAUUAAUGUUUAGAUUUUAUUGACAAAAAUUCUACAAGAAUAUUUGGUGAAAAGAUAAAUGAAAAUGGAUUUGAGAAGGUGGAAUAGUGAAAGCCACGUAUUAGUACAAAAUCAUAUGGUUUUCCAUGGUGGGACACAUGCCUUGGUUCUGUCUAUCUUUGAUUGCCAUAAUAACCCAGUCUGUACCAACAUCUUUAUACAUAUUACAAAAAUAUACGAUGUGAACUUUGGUGAUGAUUUAUAUAGAUAUAAAAAAAAUGUAAUUGGUUAUAUAAAUAUUUAUAUAAUGACAGAUCAAAUAAAAGAAGAUACAUAGAGAAAUAACAGCACAAAACAUAUAAUAUAAAUAAAGGAAGUCUAGCCGCGCAAACGCGCGGGUCACUAUAUAUAAAAUAGCUGGGCAACUAAGUUUUGGUGAACUUAUUGUGGAAGUACAUGUCGUCCCACGUUAUAUGAAGUGUGUGGUCGUUCUUGUCAUUAAGUAAGGAUACCCAUUCAGAGCAGGAUGCUUUAUGGCUAAGCUCCUAUAUUACUGCCGGCCCAAGUUGAUGACAGAGAAACUCCUGAUCAAACAAGCUGAUAUACGGGAGCACAUCACCUUGUCGAUGCUAUGGAGGAACUUGACGCCGAGACCGCGAUUAGUCAUCGCUUGAUCAAUAUCUGCGAGGAACUUGAGCUGCUACCCAUACUUGGUGACAGACAUGGUGCUCUCCUUGAGCAUGUGGUACUUGACGCUAAGACUGAUGAUGUGUGCGGAGUUAUUGUUGAGGAAGUACUGGUGGAGGCGAUUCCAUGCCGACAAGGCAAUGCCGUCAUUGGACAUCGCAAGUCCAGAAGACCAUCGUCGAUCAUGGUAUAGACCCACAACAUGAUCCUGAUGUCAGCACGCUGCUACUCGGGGUCAUCAAUUUCAAGUUCAGAUGUUGAAUAAUGUGGUUGAGUUCGGAGGCGGGGAGGACGAACCAGAAGAAAUGCACCAUUUAUGGUAGUUGUUGACAACUUGGGUCGAGUUUAAAGGUGAAGUAGGACUGGAUGUUGGUAUUAUGGACGACAAUCGGGCAUGAAGUUUGUAAAAGGGGUUGGGAG
rnacentral:lncRNA from 1 species